AAGCUCAAAAGCAAAGGGGAACUAAAUCCGAUAAAGGAAAGGAAAAGGUGAUCGAAUAGCCGUUGAAAUCGUUCGACAACUUCCGAGAUCUCAUUUGGAAGCUACAGGCUCGGGGAUCGUCAGCAACUAGUCACACUAUCACUAUCCACUGCUUGUUACUGUUAUGUUUUGAAUUAUUUUAUGGCAUGUAAAGAAUAGACCAGUGGCCAAAGAAUAUUUUGGUUAAUGUAUAUAAGCCAUGCGAAAAUGGCAUCUUUUGAAUGUGUACUUAUAGUAGUUAAA